rnacentral:rRNA from 1 species
UUGGCACGAGUUGGCGAUUUACAAGCUCGCUGCGAAUAAGGAUCGGCUAACUCCGUGCCGGCGGCCGCGGUAAUACGGAGGAUCCGGGGGUUAUCCGGAUUUAUUGGGUUUAAAGGGUGCGCAGGCGGGGAUUUAGGUCGGCGGUGAAAUUUCGGGGCUCAACCUCAAUAGUGCCGUUGAAACCGUUUCUCUUGAGUGCGGAUGAGGUAGGCGGAAUUUGUGGUGUAGCGGAGAAAUGCUUAGAUAUCACAAGGAACACCGAUUGCGGAGGCAGCUUACUAAACCGUUACUGACGCUCAUGCACGAAGGCGUGGGGAUCAAACAGGAUUAAAUACCCUGGUAGUCCACGCAGUAAACGAUGAUUACUUGCUGUUUGCAAUACACUGUAAGCGGCGUAGCGAAAGCGUUAAGUAAUCCACCUGGGGAGUACGUUCGCAAGAAUG